GUAAGGAAUAUUGGUCAAUGGACGAAAGUCUGAACCAGCCAUGCCGCGUGAAGGAUGAAGGCCCUCUGGGUUGUAAACUUCUUUUAUCUGGGACGAAAAAAGGGUAUUCUUACUCACUUGACGGUACCAGAGGAAUAAGCACCGGCUAACUCCGUGCCAGCAGCCGCGGUAAUACGGAGGGUGCAAGCGUUAUCCGGAUUCACUGGGUUUAAAGGGUGCGUAGGUGGGUAUUUAAGUCAGUGGUGAAAUCUCCGAGCUUAACUCGGAAACUGACAUUGAUACUAUUUACCUUGAAUGCCCUGGAGGUAAGCGGAAUAUGUCAUGUAGCGGUGAAAUGAUUAGAUAUGACAUAGAACACCAAUUGCGAAGGCAGCUUACUACGGGGUGAUUGACACUGAGGCACGAAAGCGUGGGGAGCAAACAGGAUUAGAAACCCUGGUAGUCC
rnacentral:rRNA from 1 species